UUAGAUGACGUGACGACACGAAUUAGCACAUAUCACAAUAAAAGACAUGGUGUGCCUGAGUGCGCUAGAUGUGCCGGAGAUGUUUGAAGCCAUCAGAUCUGUGCAUGUAUAGCCAGUAGACUAGAAUAUCGCAUCAGCUGCAAAAUCGGGUAGUCAGAUCUACGCACAACGACUAUCUCACUGGACUGUAGCAGCACCUAGCAUGUCACGACAACUUUCUCGGUGGACUGUGGAAGAAUUGUGCGAAUGGCUAAGGGGCCAAGACUACGAAGAGUACUGCUCUCAGUUCGAAGAAAACUUGAUUGAUGGCGCUGCUUUGGUUGACUUGACUAUCGACUACAUGAAAGAGCUAAUCAAGCCGCUAGGAGUACAGUACUGUACGCGUCAAACUGCUGAAGCUAAUGAAGAUGGAAAGCGUCGUCGAAUCCCUAGUCAACGAGAGCCCCGUACGUCAUGUCAGCUGAAAUGGAAGAUUCGGUUCUAGCAGAUUGUGCAUUUACCUCUGCCCUUACUAGAGAACCUGUUGGAGACAGUACUUAUUCGAAGGUAAUAGAGCAUAUCUAUGUUUCACUAGUUUCAGGCUUGUUGCGUUAGUUUAUCUAUACCUGCGAGCAAACAAUGACUUGUGUGUCUGCU